CAAGCGAUUUCCUGUCGGGCUUGCAAGUUCACGCAUCGUUUCACUUCUGCAGGUAUUGAUCAGUGUACACGGCUGAUAACAUUUAACUUUCCAUUUUGAACUAUCAGAUGUAUAAUAUACAACUCUGUCUUACUUGUCAUUACCAAACUCAUACGCUUGUUUAUAAAUAACAUUUCUGGUGUAAAGAAUAUUAUUCAUAAAAAUAUAAAUAAUACCCAAAAAAUAAGAUUUGAUGAAAUUAAAAUCUAUUUAAAUAUUUUUUCCAAGGGUGAAUUUGGGAAAAUGUAAUAUAUACUCAUUGUCAAAAGUGAAGGACAGAUUGGAACAUACCAGAAAUAUUGAUUUAAAAAAAUGUACGCACUUGCCGACGAUUCGUUUAUACGACUGGAUAGAAAGUUACGGAACUAUAGCGC
rnacentral:lncRNA from 1 species